UCUAUGUAUAUCUAUGGUCGGCACGUCUGGUAGCGUCUCUGGCUGCUGUUGACCUUGUUUUUGGAGUAAAACACGGUGGAAGCUGAAUUAGUGAGGAUGACUCCUGCUCCUGUCAUCUCAAAGCUCCUCACACAUCUUUACCUGCACAUGAGGAAAAUCACUCCUGUAGAAUGCAGAUGUUCAGAGGGAGAUGAUGCCACAUCUGGUCCAGCUGAUGGAAGGUCUUGAAGUUCUCUGACUGGCCUGGACUGAAGAUGGUCCUCUCACUGGAUUUAAGGUUCAGAUGCUCAGUAACAAACUCCACCAAUGUACCAACAGGGAAGCUUUAGGUUUAUUAAAUGUUACUAUGAAGGUUUCGCUGUUUUUCUUUGUGAAUGCAAUGUGCUCCAACUGAAACUUGAAUUAGAACAUAGAAGUAAAUCCUUCCAUCUGAAAGGAUUUAGUUGCAUUAAUAACCUCAUAACAUUCUAAUUUUUAUUCCAGUCUUGGUUGGAAAUAGAAUCUCUGUAUUGAUUCAGGUGAAAACUGAACUUCACAGCAUGUUGGAGCAAAACAACCAGAUGAAAACUGUGAUGGUGUUGGAUUGUCAGACCGUAAUGUUGCAGCUCAA
ensembl:lncRNA